rnacentral:rRNA from 1 species
CAGCCGCCGCGGUAAAACGAGGGGUGCAAGCGUUAUUCGGAUUGAUUGGGUGUAAAGGGUGUGCAGACGGCUUAUUAAGUCACUUGUUAAAUUCUUCGGCCUAACUGAAGGUCUGCAAGUGAUACUGAUGAGCUAGAGGGUGGAAGAGAGAAGUGGAAUUCUCGGAGUAGCGGUAAAAUGCGUAGAUCUCGAGAGGAACACCAAUGGCGAAGGCAGCUUCUUGGUCCAUUCCUGACGUUCAUACACGAAAGCGUGGGGAGCAAACAGGAUUAGAUACCCCCGUAGUCCCUGUCUCUUAUAC